UGGGGAAUUUUGGACAAUGGGGGAAACCCUGAUCCAGCCAUCCCGCGUGUGCGAUGAAGGCCUUCGGGUUGUAAAGCACUUUUGGCAGGAAAGAAACGUCAUGGGUUAAUACCCCGUGAAACUGACGGUACCUGCAGAAUAAGCACCGGCUAACUACGUGCCAGCAGCCGCGGUAAUACGUAGGGUGCAAGCGUUAAUCGGAAUUACUGGGCGUAAAGCGUGCGCAGGCGGUUCGGAAAGAAAGAUGUGAAAUCCCAGAGCUCAACUUUGGAACUGCAUUUUUAACUACCGGGCUAGAGUGUGUCAGAGGGAGGUGGAAUUCCGCGUGUAGCAGUGAAAUGCGUAGAUAUGCGGAGGAACACCGAUGGCGAAUGCAGCCUCCUGGGAUAACACUGACGCUCAUGCACGAAAGCGUGGGGAGCAAACAGG
rnacentral:rRNA from 1 species